rnacentral:rRNA from 1 species
AAUUCCACGUGUAGCAGUGAAAAUGCGUAGGAGAUGUGGAGAAACACCGAUGGCGAAGGCAGCCCCCUGGGUCAAAGAAUUGACGCUCAUGCAACGAAAGCGUGGGGAGCAAACAGGGAUUAGAUACCCUGGUAGUCCAACGCCCUAAAACGAUGUCUACUAGUUGUCGGGUUUUUAAUUUAACUUGGUAACGCAGCUAACGCGUGAAGUAGACCCGCCUGGGGAGUACGGUCGCAAGAUUAAAACUCAAAGGAAUUGACGGGGACCCGCACAAGCGGUGGAUGAUGUGGAUUAAUUCGAUGCAACGCGAAAAACCUUACCUACCCUUGACAUGGAAGGAAUCCUGAAGAGAUCCGGGAGUGCCCGAAAGGGAACCUUCACACAGGUGCUGCAUGGCUGUCGUCAGCUCGUGUCGUGAGAUGUUGGGUUAAGUCCCGCAACGAGCGCAACCCUUGUCAUUAGUUGCUACGCAAGAGCACUCUAAUGAGACUGCCGGUGACAAACCGGAGGAAGGUGGGGAUGACGUCAAGUCCUCAUGGCCCUUAUGGGUAGGGCUUCACACGUCAUACAAUGGUACAUACUUAGGGCCUC